CAGGGACAGAAGGAGAGGAGUCAGUGGUAGAAACCCAAAUUGCCUGCUCUUCAUUUUAACUCUGCUGAGUCUGGUCUGUUUCAUAAGAGCCCAGUCUGACAGGGAGAUGCCUGCAAUGAUGAAGGAAGAGUAUCAGAGGCUCGGAAAAAAUCUGGAAAGGCAAAUGAGAGAUCUUCACCAGUUUAUGCCUGACAUCAUUUUUGACACUGAUCUGACCCACAUGCAGAAAGAACACAAGUAGAGAGCAUCAAACGGU